GAUGAACGCUGGCGGCGUGCCUAAUACAUGCAAGUAGAACGCUGAAGGAGGAGCUUGCUCUUCUGGAUGAGUUGCGAACGGGUGAGUAACGCGUAGGUAACCUGCCUGGUAGCGGGGGAUAACUAUUGGAAACGAUAGCUAAUACCGCAUGACAACAGUUAUUGCAUGAUAACUGUUUAAAAGGGGCAACUGCUCCACUACCAGAUGGACCUGCGUUGUAUUAGCUAGUUGGUGAGGUAACGGCUCACCAAGGCGACGAUACAUAGCCGACCUGAGAGGGUGAUCGGCCACACUGGGACUGAGACACGGCCCAGACUCCUACGGGAGGCAGCAGUAGGGAAUCUUCGGCAAUGGACGGAAGUCUGACCGAGCAACGCCGCGUGAGUGAAGAAGGUUUUCGGAUCGUAAAGCUCUGUUGUAAGAGAAGAACGAGUGUGAGAGUGGAAAGUUCACACUGUGACGGUAUCUUGCCAGAAAGGGACGGCUAACUACGUG
rnacentral:rRNA from 1 species